AACGUUGAAGACGACGACGUUGAUAGGCCGGGUGUGUAAGCGCAGCGAUGCGUUGAGCUAACCGGUACUAAUGAACCGUGAGGCUUAACCUUACAACGCCGAAGCUGUU
rnacentral:rRNA from 5 species